rnacentral:lncRNA from 1 species
GAAGCUUCCAUCCCCCAGCCCUGGUGGGGGACAGGGAAAAACAUGAGGAUAUUUGGGUUAGGAUGUAGCUCAGUGGAACAGCACUUGCCUGGCAAAUUUUUAAAUUGUGAAUUACAUUCUUAGCUCAUGGGUUGUGCAAAAACGGGCAGCAGGCUAGAUUUUUUUAUUUUUAUUUUUAUUUUUUUUUUCCUUUCGUACCAGGGAUUGAACCCAGGGGCACUUAACCACUGAGCCACGUCCCCAGACCUUUUUAAUAUUUUAUUAGAGACAGG